GGUUGGUUUUAUCAUACUAGGCAAAAGGUAAGAGGUUCCGUGCUGUGAGGACUUCAUUUUUUGCAUCACUAACGGUAAACUUUGUUUGAUUUAUCCAUCAACACCCACCGGUUCAUUAUCAGUUUUGGAAUCUGUAAUGUUCUAGGCUGCAAAUAUUUACUAUGUAACCAUCAAGGAGCCGAGGUCAGUAGUUCCCAACAGCAGCACCUCUAGCUGCCUUGGGAGUGGUUUCGUUUCAGGCUCAACAGGCCAUUGUGGCCAUAAAUUCAGGCUUAUGUACAGAGAAGUUUCAGGGAAUGGAUGCCUUGUCUAAAGAUCUGUCUACCAUUUGAUAUAAAGUGAGCUGUGGGGCAAGCAUAUAGGGACUGUGUGACAUGCAGUGACGCCAACACAGUCCCUUACAAGAGGCUGCUUCCCACUUCUCACAUUGAUGUUUUCUUGUGGGAAGAAGUGCCCCAAGCGUAUACAUGCCAUCAGAGUCCUGGGUAGUUUAACAUAUAGCUACAUUUUGAGACUUGUAUGAUGGUUGUCUGAAAGGGGAAGGAACAAGAUAAUUAUCUAUAGCUACAACCGUGUGCGCUAUGAUGAUUGGGGGCCAUCGAAGUGGUUCAGUUGGUAGUGGUGCUUGCCACCAAGCCUGCUGACCUGAGUUGGAUCCCCAGGACCCAAUAGAGAGAAUCGACACCUUCAAAUUGUCCCAUGACACACAUACAUACACACAAAUGUAAUAAAGGGUUUUAAAUUAAGGUUUCUCUUUUAUGUAACUACUCUUGAUGUAGUGUCACAUCUGGGAAGCUGUGGCCUGGAAGGCGGUCAUUUUGUGUCUUGUUCAGAGAUGGAAGCAGAAACUGAUGAUCCUAACUUUGCCAUGUGGUUAUUACUGGGUUUAUCAUUUAGGUUUUGUGAAGGACAUCAUCUGGUUUCAUUGUGACUUUUGUUUUUAGGGAAGCAAAGCAAACUCCCCAUAUUCUGAUAACCUCAAUUCUUCCCUAACUGAAAGCCAUGUUGAGGGGCUCCACUCCCAGUUUGGGUCAGAGUGAAUUCACCCCUAUGUUGGAGCACUGGAAUCUGUUAUUUGCAAACAAUGUUAUCAUUUAGAAAGAUGUGCACUACCUACGUUCUGUCUGUUAAAGAACUCUCCACCUAUAGAAAGUCGCCUUUGAUAAAACAGUUCUGGUUCAGGGGCUGGGGAUUUAGCUCAGUGGUAGAGCGCUUACCUAGGAAGCGCAAGGCCCUGGGUUCGGUCCCCAGCUCCAAAAAAAAAGAACAAAAAAAAAAAAAAAGUUCUGGUUCGAUCAGUCGUUCUUCGGUAUAUAUGCAAGGUGGAUCCUGGCUGAGCCAACAUUGCACUGUGGAUACGUAUUUGUGUUUACGCAAUGCUAGACAGAAGGCACUGUACAUAUGAGUGUUGCUCUCAAGCAAUAUUUGCAAAACAUGCAAACUUCUGUAUCUGGAAAAAUAAAACAGGUUCUUGUUAAAAAAAAAAAAAAAAAAA
rnacentral:lncRNA from 1 species